rnacentral:rRNA from 1 species
UACGUAGGGGGGCAAGCGUUGUCCGGAUUUAUUGGGCGUAAAGAGCGUGUAGGCGGCUAGGUAGGUCCGUUGUGAAAACUCGAGGCUCAACCCUCGAGACGUCGAUGGAAACCAUCUAGCUAGAGUCCGGAAGAGGAGAGUGGAAUUCCUGGUGUAGCGGUGGAAUGCGCAGAUAUCGGGAAGAACACCCCGUGGCGAAGGCGGUCUCUGGGACGGUACUGACGCUGAGACGCGAAAGCGUGGGGAGCAACAGG